ACUAUAUGUACUAUUUAAAGCACGCGUAGGAGUGUUUUAUCACAUAUAAAACACGACGCGUAGCGGAGUGUUUUAUAUGUGAUAAAACACGACUACCAGCCCAAAGAGCCCUAACCCAAAGCUUCAAAAACGACUCAUCUUAUACGAGUUCAUUGGCGAAAUAAUUUUUAAAAUAAACUUUGUCUAAACCGAGAAAAUCAAAGCUAAAGUUUAUGUAAAUUAACGUGAUUUUUUAUCACAUAUAAAACCACGACACGCUUAUGAUUUUUCUUUUUGUUUUAUAAUAUAGCACAGAGAAAUAUAAAGAAAGAAAUUUUCCGACGUUUCCGUGUUGACAUUAGAGAGGUUAAGAUACCCCGAUUCCGGUUUACGGGUACGGGUGAUAUACACGUACCCGUACCCGUAAAUCGGGGAAUAACUUGUAACUUAAGAAAUCCAGGAUACUCCGGCGUGAGAAAACCGAUCAAAGAAUGGCAACUUUCGCUGUUGUGGUUCGUCGUAAAUUGUUGAAAACUUUGACCAGCAUAUGUGCAUUAUUUAUUGGGGUAAGAUGCUGAAAAUUUGUACUAUUUAAACGGCCCAAAAAUAGUAAACAGAAACCACCCGUACCCGUUUGUCGUUUACGUGUAGACCCCGGUUUACCGCGGGGGAACGGGUAGAAAUUACGGGUAAAAUUGCUGACAUCAGCAAAAAUUGGUAAACAAAAUGGCGAUACUCGUACCCGUAAACCGGAACCGGGGUAUCUUAACCUCUCUAUUGAGUUAUAUCAACACGGCUCUUAAGCCCCG